UGUGAUUUGGUUAAGUUCAUUCAGUAGAGUAGACAUUUUCUACUAUGCCAAAGCUUUGUCAUAUAUAACUGUAUAAAUAUAGAAUUUUAAUGUUUAUUUCAAAAUCUGUUUUAAUGGUAUUUUCUCCAUUUAUCUGAAAUUAAGGACAUAUUCUGCAAUUUGAAAUUUCAUUUUCAGCUGAAAUCCUGAGUGGCAAGAAUAAUUUUUAAAACCACAACUUCACUUGGAGGUAUGGGAGGAGGUGGAGGAAGAGAGAUGAAAUAACUCAGCAAACAGAUGGAAAUGGAAGAGAAUUGUUAUUGAUGAACAAAGCUUCUUGGGAUGUCUUUAAACCUCCUUCCACUGAAUCACUCCAAAGUAAUAGUAGAUGACUUAGACAAAUGAUCUGAGUUACUGAUUUCAUGGAUGGAGAGAAUGAGUAAGAAGUAUACUCUGUCCCUUGGCUGUCAUUCACCGCUUUACCAUAUCUGCACUCACAUCCCAAUGAAUGCGUUGAUUACUGUUCUGGAUUCUCCAUUUAAUAAACUGCAUUAAACUCUUCCUGGAAAAAAA